AUUGAACGCUGGCGGAAUGCUUUACACAUGCAAGUCGAACGGCAGCACGGGUGCUUGCACCUGGUGGCGAGUGGCGAACGGGUGAGUAAUGCACCGGAACGUAUCCAAUAAGUGGGGGAUAACGCACCGAAAGGUGUGCUAAUACCGCAUACGCCCUGGAGGGGGAAAGCGGGGGAUCGUAAGACCUCGCGCUAUUGGAGCGGCCGAUGGCAGUAUUAGCUAGUUGGUGGGGUAAAGCCUACCAAGGCGACGAUCUGUAGCUGGUCUGAGAGGACGACCAGCCACACUGGGACUGAGACACGGCCCAGACUCCGUACGGGAGGCAG
rnacentral:rRNA from 1 species